GGGCUUGACAUCCCACGAACCUGCCUGAAAGGGCGGGGUGCCCGCAAGGGAGCGUGGAGACAGGUGGUGCAUGGCUGUCGUCAGCUCGUGUCGUGAGAUGUUGGGUUAAGUCCCGCAACGAGCGCAACCCUCACCCCUAGUUGCCACCGGGUAAUGCCGAGCACUCGAGGGGAACUGCCAGCGUCAAGCUGGAGGAAGGCGGGGAUGACGUCAAGUCAUCAUGCCCCUUACGCCCUGGGCUACACACGUGCUACAAUGGCCGGUACAGAGGGCUGCAAACCCGCGAGGGGGAGCUAAUCCCACAAAGCCGGUCUAAGUUCGGAUUGCAGGCUGCAACUCGCCUGCAUGAAGGAGGAAUCGCUAGUAAUCGCGCAUCAGCACGGCGCGGUGAAUACGUUCCCGGGCCUUGUACACACCGCCCGUCACACCACGAAAGCCGGCUGUACUCGAAGUCGCUGAG
rnacentral:rRNA from 1 species